CUGCGUGGGAGCCCGCAUCCCUGCAGUUCCUCUGGGUUCGGACUCGGACUCCGGAGCCUGGUGCGGUGCAGCCUUCGCCCAGUUUUCUUGGUCUCGUCCGUCUGAGUCAAGGCCAAACCCAGGGCACAGGAAGGACUGUAAUUAGUGUUUGCCGAGUCAACGAGGGAAGGACCCUGCAACGUCACAGCCUUUAUCUAAUGGGGACGAGCAUCAGCUCAGACACUGCUAAGACGCCCCUCGUUAUCGGAAUGCAUCCUGAACGGAAAGCGGGCCAUGCUCAGGGUAACGAGAUGACACGUGCCCAGGCCAGCUCGUCACAGACUCCUGACACGUGACCUAGGAUCCACAGUCACACUCAGGCAAAUACGGCCCCGGAGUUCCUGCUGUGUUGUCACCUCGCGGGUGGCCCACAACCCGUGCCCCGUGUCAUCAGGGUCAUGCGCCUCGCCCGUGCGCAGUGUGCAGUGUGCAGUCCCCCACGGAGUGCACGUGCUAGGUGCCUGGUGGAUGAUUCCUGGACAAGCUCCUGAGAGGGACCAGCAGAGGCCUGACCGGAAGCCCUGACACCCACGCAGCCAUCACUGUGAGUCGUGGCCGUGGCAGCCCGGCCAGCGAAGGUGCCACAGGCUGACAAACUCCCUAGUGGGCCCUGCACACCAAGACCAAGCCCGAGGGUGCAGGUCCCCACCCCGAGAUAGAACCGGAGACGGGGAGGGUGCAGGGUGCUGAGAAGGGGAAAUGCAUGAACUCGAGGAAGUGGGUGAUUAGGAAACGAAGCUGAGCGGUGAAGGGAAGUCGGCUGAGGUGGACACAGGACUGGGCGCGUGAGCACACAGCAGACUCGCCCGGUGAGACUUCCCUCGCCCACCAGGGAGACAGCGCGGCCCGCUCCCCGCCCUGCCCCGGUUUAUACACAAAAAAACGCCGGAUGAAACGCAGACUACAAGCUGCAUCUGGCUAAGCUGGAACAGAAGGACCAUUUCAGAGUAAGGAACCAAAAGAAAACAGAACUACCAGGCCGAGCGCGAGCUGAAGCCACGGACCCUCGCUGUGGGCUGCUGGACCCCUCCAGGCGGUGGGAGUUGGUGCUGAGCUCCGUGAACGCUGGAGCCGCCAAGGAGCUGUCCAGCCCGCGAGCUCGGAGUCGGGCCCCCUGCCCAUCAGCACCGUGCUGGGGCACGAUAGGGAGCCAGGCCACGGCCCUGGGCUGCAGUAAAUGGCACCGUGGGGAACGCGAACUGCACGCCUGAUGGGACGGAAACGUGGGCCACCACACGGGGGCGGGAGUUGGGGGUGGGGGACACCGUCCCAUCAUCUCAGGCCUUCCCCACCCACGGCUGGCCUGGGCAGGGAGAUGACCUUCUGUGUAGCUAGUGAAUCAAGAUCGAACUUUACAUUUCUCCGCAAAGGGCUUGGAAACUGAGUUCUAACACUCCUGAGACCCCGUCGCAUCCAAAAGCAAAGUCCAGGAGAGAGAGCUACCUUGUGAGGAGAUCAGCAAACCGCGGUUUAUUGGCUUAAUCCACCGAGUUUUUUUGUAAAUUGAGGUAUAAUUAACAUAUAACACUAUAUUGGUCUCAGGUGUACAACAUAAUGAUUCGAUAUUUGUACAAAUUGCAAAAUGAUCGCCACAAUAAUUCUGGUUAACAUCUGCCCUCUGUUUUUGUAAAUGAAGUUUUAUCGGAACGUAGCCAAGCUCAUGGGUUUGUUUUACCUACCACAGAAACGGCACGGCCUGCAAACCCCAGACCUGCUUCUACGUGGCCCUUUGCAGAGUCCUCUAUGAGCCACACCGUGUCUUUUCCCACAGCCUGGAUUCAUGAGUUUCUACACUAUCUACUGAUACUGUCUAUCUCCACCUCAAAGCAUGGACUGGUAACUGUAACUGUAAUUAGCAAUUGUCCAGAUAAUGUGUUGCUCAGUCAAAAAAAAAAGUGAAAAAAGAAGAGUGA